rnacentral:lncRNA from 1 species
CUUCUGAAUAGAGUAAUACAUAAACAACACAUAUUUGUGAUACAGAAUUUACUCAAAAUUGUCCAAAAUCUGCUCUUCGGGUCUAGGCAGAAUCAAACUUUUCUAUUACUUUAAUUGUCAAUAUUCACACUGAAAUGCCGAUGAAUAUGCAGUAAUGCUAGUAACUGUCGUCGUUCAUUGUUGAUCGUACAUUUGUUUUCAACAUACGCAAAAAAUAAUGAGACUUUCCAAUACUGUGUUGGCGUGUUUGCAGGGUGAUUGGCACUGGUAGUCUGUCGACCACAUCGCCUCGGCAUAUUUUCAACGAUAUCGAAGGUUCUGAUAAUUCUAAUGCCGAUUGGUACAUC